CUCGUAGGCGGCCAACUAAGUCAGACGUGAAAUCCCUAGGCUCAACCUAGGAACUGCGUCUGAUACUGGAUGGCUUGAAUCCGGGAGAGGGAUGCAGAAUUCCAGGUGUAGCGGUGAAAUGCGUAGAUAUCUGGAGGAAUACCGGUGGCGAAGGCGGCAUCCUGGACCGGCAUUGACGCUGAGGAGCGAAAGCCAGGGGAGCAAACG
rnacentral:rRNA from 1 species